rnacentral:rRNA from 1 species
CAGCAGCCGCGGUAAUACGUAGGGUGCGAGCGUUGUCCGGAGUUACUGGGCGUAAAGGGCGCGCAGGCGGCUGCCCGCGUCGCACGUGAAAGCCCCCGGCUCAACCGGGGAGGGUCGUGCGAGACGGGGUAGCUGGAGGCGGGGAGAGGCUGGUGGAAUUCCCGGUGUAGUGGUGAAAUGCGUAGAGAUCGGGAGGAACACCGGUGGCGAAGGCGGCCAGCUGGCCCCGACCUGACGCUGAGGCGCGAAGGCGCGGGGAGCGAACGGGAUUAGAUACCCCGGUAGUCCGCGCAGUAAACGUUGUGGACUAGGUGUGGGAGGUGUUGACCCCUUCCGUGCCGGCGCUAACGCAGUAAGUCCACCGCCUGGGGAGUACGGCCGCAAGGCUAAAACUCAAAGGAAUUGACGG